rnacentral:lncRNA from 1 species
AAUUGGUGAAAGGCUAAGAAUGGCGAAGGAGAAGCCUUCCAAGAAGGCCUUGGUUGUGAUUCCCCCCCCGCCCCCCGCCAUCACCCCCUUGACAUUGCUGAGAACUACAGAACAAGACUUCCAAGGUAUCUGGCACCUGUCAAAAACCAGUUCGUAUGGAUGAUCCAAUAAGAGCGAUGGAUAUUUCAUUCCACCCUGAGCUUCCAUCAGAGAGAAGGCCCCAAAGGUUUCAAUUCCAGGCUGUGUAAGGCAGGUACAAUUAAUUGAGGCAAAAGGGGGAACUUCCGCUCUACACAUGGACCUCCUGUGUCUCCAGCAUGAAUCUCCUCCAGCAGCAGUGCAGACGUGGGGAGGUGCUGUGCCAGUUGCCCCUACACGUCCCUGCUGGCCCCCGCCUGGGCCCUGGACCCCAUCACGCCCUGUGAGGAUCCUGCCUUCCGUACCUCUCCCAGGCAAGAGGCUCAGAGGUGAACAUUUGAACCUGUCCUACAUUCCCCUGAAAAAGGAACUUGGCCGCCAUGUCCCCCGGAGAUGACAAAGAAGGUACCACUACUGCUGGCCGAAGUAAGUGUGGGAAGAGUCUUGGACAAUGUGCUUUGUACUCAUAAGAAAGUCAAGACAAAUGGAUCGCAAAGGGAUGAAAUGACAGACCUCCAAAAUCUUAUGGCAGCAACUCACUUCCAACUGCUGGCAGGCCAAGAGUGUAGGCGAAAGGGAGCAGCGAUGGGCCUGGGUUGUGAGAGCUGGGUUUUAUUCCCAGAGGCCACUGGUCAGCUCAGGAACCUUGGGCCAUGUCUCAGUGCACCUGUUCCUUCAUCUGUGCGGGGGGAGGGGGGAAUGGCAACUAGACUUAAUGAUGUUUCUGAUCAUAAUCUGUAUAAAAUAGCACAGAUCCCCUCGCUCCCAUGCUCACCCCAUCUCCUUUACCCGAGUUUACUUUUCUCCAAAGCUUUUCACAAUACGCCCAGUCUUUUUUUUUUUUCCUGUGUCUCCUUACUAGAAUGCAAGCUCCGUUAG